UUCCUACGGGGCGCAGCAGUGGGGGAUAUUGCACAAUGGGGGGAACCCUGAUGCAGCGACGCCGCGUGGAGGAUGAAGGUUUUCGGAUUGUAAACUCCUUUUGUCAGGGAGCAACGCCGGCUACGUGUAGCCGGACUGAGAGUACCUGAAGAAAAAGCAUCGGCUAACUCCGUGCCAGCAGCCGCGGUAAUACGGAGGAUGCGAGCGUUAUCCGGAUUUAUUGGGUUUAAAGGGUGCGUAGGCGGAAUGCCAAGUCAGCGGUAAAAUCGCGGGGCUCAACCUCGCUCCGCCGUUGAAACUGGCGU
rnacentral:rRNA from 1 species